AACGAACGCUGGCGGCAUGCCUAACACAUGCAAGUCGAACGAGACCUUCUGGUCUAGUGGCGCACGUGUGGGUAACGCGUGGGAACAUGCCCUUAGGAUCGGAAUAACUUCCCGAAAGGAGUUCUAAUAACGGCUAAGGUCCUCGGACUAAUGAUUUAUCGCCUUUGAAUGGGCCGGCGGUGGUGUAGCUAGUUGGUAGGGUAAAAGCCUACCAAGGCGACGAUCCAUAGCUGGUCUGGGAGGAUGAUCAGCCACACUGGGACUGAGACACGGCCGAGACUCCGACGGGAGGAAGCAGUGGGGAAUAUUGGACAAUGGGCGAAGGGCUGAUCCAGCCAUGCCGCGUGAGGGAUGAAGGCCUUAGGGUUGUAAAGCUCUUUUACCCGGGAUGAUAAUGACAGUACCGGGAGAAUAAGCUCCGGCUAACUCCGUG
rnacentral:rRNA from 1 species